rnacentral:siRNA from 1 species
GUGCAUUAGUGCUGGUAUGAUCG